rnacentral:rRNA from 1 species
AAGUUUUCGGAUGGAAGCUUGUAAACUUAGUGGCGGACGGGUGAGUAACACGUGAGCAACCUGCCUAUCAGAGGGGGAUAACGAUUGGAAACGAUCGCUAAUACCGCAUGACAUAGCGGAACCGCAUGGUUCUGUUAUCAAAGAUUUUAUCGCUGAUAGAUGGGCUCGCGUCCGAUUAGAUAGUUGGUGGGGUAACGGCCUACCAAGUCGACGAUCGGUAGCCGACCUGAGAGGGUGAUCGGCCACAUUGGGACUGAGACACGGCCCAAACUCC